GACGAACGCUGGCGGCGUGCCUAACGCAUGCAAGUCGAACGGAACUGUUUUGAAAGAUUUCUUCGGAAUGAAUUUGAUUUAGUUUAGUGGCGGACGGGUGAGUAACGCGUGAGUAACCUGCCUUCAAGAGGGGAUUAACAUUCUGAAAAGAAUGCUAAUACCGCAUGACAUAUCGGAACCACAUGGUUUUGAUAUCAAAGAUUUUAUCGCUUGAAGAUGGACUCGCGUCCGAUUAGUUAGUUGGUGAGGUAACGGCUCACCAAGACCGCGAUCGGUAGCCGGACUGGGAGGUUGAACGGCCACAUUGGGACUGAGGCACCGCCCAGAAUCCUACGGGAGGCAGCAGUGGGGGAUAUUGCGCAAUGGGGGCAACCCUGACGCAGCAACGCCGCGUGAAGGAUGAAGGUUUUCGGAUUGUAAACUUCUUUUAUUAAGGACGAAAAAUGACGGUACUUAAUGAAUAAGCUCCGGCUAACUACGUG
rnacentral:rRNA from 1 species